rfam:Populus trichocarpa scaffold_2_contig_183, whole genome shotgun sequence.
UAAUAUAUUUAAAAUAAAUACUUAUCUAACUAUAACAUACCUAUAUUUUAUUACUUAUAAUCAUCCAUUAUCACAAACAUGAAUUUAAGAUGCAUGGUACUCAAAACCUUUGAGACUCGGUUGUGAUUCUCAUUGCGACAUAAA